CCUAUACGUGCAGUCGAGCGAAUGACGAGAAGCUUGCUUCUCUGAUUUAGCGGCGGACGGGUGAGUAACACGUGGGCAACCUGCCCUACAGAUCGGGAUAACUCAGGGAAACCUGGGCUAAUACCGGAUAAUCCUUCGAAUCACAUGUUUUGAAGUUGAAAGGCGCUUCGGCGUCACUGUAGGAUGGGCCCGCGGUGCAUUAGCUAGUUGGUGGGGUAACGGCCUACCAAGGCAACGAUGCAUAGCCGACCUGAGAGGGUGAUCGGCCACAUUGGGACUGAGACACGGCCCAAACUCCUACGGGAGGCAGCAGUAGGGAAUCUUCCACAAUGGACGAAAGUCUGAUGGAGCAACGCCGCGUGAGUGAUGAAGGUUUUCGGAUCGUAAAACUCUGUUGUAAGGGAAGAACAAGUACGUUAGGAAAUGAACGUACCUUGACGGUACCUUAUUAGAAAGCCACGGCUAACUACGUGCCAGCAGCCGCGGUAAUACGUAGGUGGCAAGCGUUGUCCGGAUUUAUUGGGCGUAAAGCGCGCGCAGGUGGUUUCUUAAGUCUGAUGUGAAAGCCCACGGCUCAACCGUGGAGGGUCAUUGGAAACUGGGGAACUUGAGUGCAGAAGAAGAUAGUGGAAUUCCCAGUGUAGCGGUGAAAUGCGUAGAGAUUUGGAAGAACACCAGUGGGCGAAAGCGACUGUCUGGUCUGUAACUGACACUGAAGCGCGAAAGCGUGGGGAGCAAACAGGAUUACAUACCCUGGUAGUCCACGCCGUAAACGAUGAGUGCUAAGUGUUAAGGGGGUUUCCGCCCCUUAAUGCUGCAGCUAACGCAUUAAGCACUCCCGCCUGGGGGAGUACGACCGCAAGGGUGGAAACUCAAAGGAAUUGACGGGGGGCCCGCACAAAACGGUGGGAGCAUGUGGGUGUUAAUUCCAAGCAACCCCGAAGAAAACCUUACCCGGGGCUUGGACAUCCCCAUGAACCGUCC
rnacentral:rRNA from 1 species